UGCAAGAGGCCACAUGGUUAAGGAUUUACCCAUGGUCCCAGAGAAAAGUUAUAAACCCAGUGAAAGAAGAGAAGCAAGACUAAUGUGUGAGACAAACAGCCACCACUGUCCUAGAGAAGGCAAGAAACCGCUCUCUUGGAAGCAAUACUCAAGAUGCUCACCUCUCACAGGAUGGAAAGAGCCAGCAGGUUUGCCUCCUUUGGCUUUCCAGGAUUUAAGAAGAAAAGGGUAGUUCUUAGGAAAAACACAGAAAAUGAAUCCCAGCUUCGGUCCUGUGAACAGCACUAAUGAACACUGAGUUUCUACCUUACCUUAUUUUUAAUGA